rnacentral:rRNA from 1 species
AAGCUCAACAAUGGAUCUCUUGGUUCCGGC